UCUCAUCACCUCAAUCUUUUCACAUCGAAACGUUUUCAACUUGAAGCCUCUUAGGGAAAUCGGUUCAAUCUUUCAUCCUUUGUUGAGUCUUUAUCUUCCUAAAUGAUUCUCUUCUUACACUGUACUCCUAAAAAGACUUUAAAAUCUUCAUAAAGCAUGGACUGCUCAACUACAUUGUUGAAAAGUUCAAAUAUUUUAAAUGGACUGCUCAACUACAAUAUUAUUUCCAUUAUAUCUUUUGCUGUGAUAUUCUAGAAAAUAGUUUUAUUUGUUUUCUGUUUUUAAUUUUAUUUUUGGAUAUUACAUUAUAUGUCUUCAAGAAAAUCUUUCUUUUUUAAUGUUUAUGCCUUAAUGUUUGCUUGUAGCUUUGGUGGUGGUGGUACAAAUCUUACUCUUUAUUUAGAGAUUUCCUAUCCCUUAUUUUUUCUCCUGUUUUAUUAGGUGUAUUUCUAUAUGUUACUUUAUUAACCUUUUCAUUUUUCCGAUGCAAUUUAACAAAUCCCCUUUUUAUUUUUUCUGUUAUCUCUGACUUAGUCAAUUAGAUAUCUUUGAAAAUGUAGUUUAUGAUAAAUGAGUAGUCAAUACUCAUCUAUAUAGUUAGGUUGAUAGUUGGUAAAGCAUUUACCAUUCAGAAAAACGAAAAUAUUGGUUUCUACCUUUCCAUUGUCUAAUUAAACACUUCUUGUCUCAUUUUUUGUUUUGAAAAACCACUUUCCUCUCAUCACCUCAAUAUUUUCACUUUCAAACAUUUUUAACCUGAUGCCCCGUAAAAACCAAUUCAAUCUUUCAUCUUUUGUUGAGUCUGUUUAUAUUGCACUCCCAAAAAGACUUUAAGAUCUUCAUAAAGUAUGGACUGCUCAACUAAAAUGUUGAAAAGUCAAAUGUUUUAAAUUUGUUACAUCUGGGAACUAGUGUAACAGUUUGAUACCUAGAGGAAACGUACAAUUGUUCAUUCAUUCUCACUACAAAUUGAUAUACACAAUAUAACAACCCAUAUUUUUAUGCAAAACAAUAUUAAAAUAUUAUUUCUUAGAAAAAUAUGACAUUUUUUUGGUAAGGUAAAAAGGCAUAGACUACUAUUCAUUUAAAUAAUUAGUAACAACAAUGUUUAUUUACUACUAUUAAGAGAAAAAUGGUUUAGUUUCUAAAAUAAGAUACAACCCUUUAAAUCGAUGUCAUACAAAUUAUAAUAAUUAAAUAUGAUGUUGUUCCAAUUAUUCCUAAUGGAAGAAAACUCACCUCAGUAUUUCUAAUACUUUUUAAAAGUUGGUUACGAAUAUUAAAAUAAAAUUUAGAAAUACCGCAACAUAUACCAGUGGGGAAAAUAAACCUGACACUAACGCAACUUCCACAUAGAUAUAUACACUAGGACAUGAUGAUGUAUUAUCAAAAGAGAAUAUUUUGACACAUCCCACUAAGAUCAUGUAAUAUGCAUUUAAAAAUCACUUAUUUAACUUCAUCGUCAAACACUUUUUUGUCAGGUAUCCUAUAAUGGUAUGGGCCUAAAAGGCCCAACACGAAGAUAUAAUGGCCCAAGUACAAAAAGGUCCACUAAAUAGUGUCAUAUUUGGGUUUAAGUGAUUGGAGGACAAGGAGUUAAAGGAACAAAGGAUUUUCGCUUGUGGACUCGGUUUGCCAUGUUAAAGUGGAAAAAUAAAGUAAGGGGGUGAGUGAAUGUUUGAGUUCAAGAGUAUUUUAUAAAGUGAUACGAACGGGAAACCCGUAUUUCUCAAUGAUUCCUCUAGGGCUUGCUAUGUGCAGCUCUAUCCCUUUGAGAGAUAAAGUACUUAAUGUGAAAUUUAGGGAUUGUAAGAUUAAAAUAUGGAAUAAAAACAUUUAUAUGGUGUUGAUUGAUUUAAUUCUGUAUGAAUGUGUGAUAUUUGAUAUUGGACGCACAAUAAAUUAUGCGCCUGUGUUUGGAUUGAUGAGAUUAUGUGAUGUGAUGAUAAAACUUGGAUGUAUUGUAUGAUAAAUGUUUAUAUGAUGAUGAUGUAUGAUUGACGUGAAAUAGUGGUGAUUCCAACCGAUGCUAAAGUGGGUGAUUUUGAUGGAGUAUCCUAGGCCAACACGAGAGGAAAUAGAUGUUAAAGGUUAUUGACCUAGAGAUUAUUGAGUUACGAUAUAGGUAGGGUGUGAGAAGUAUGGGGAUGUUGAGGAAGUACAAGUGAAUGAGCUUGAUUGUGGAGGUUUGUUGUUAAGUCUUAUGGAAAAAUUGUUAGACAUAGGGGAUAUUCUGGUGGGGAGUUCCUAGGUGACUUGGAGGUAGCCUUCUAAAUUUUGAGAGCUACCAUACAACAAACGUCUACCUCGACCGAUUUGAAUUGCCUGUUCAUUUAUGUGGUGGCAUAACAUCAAGCCUACCAAUCAAGUACUUUAGAGUUUGAACGGUACCAAAAUAUAGAGAAGUAUAGUCUAAUUUCAUGCAUAGUAUUGUAUUUUCUUUUGAUUGUUUUAUGGUGAUUAAAGUGUAUUGAAGGAGAUAAUAACUUCUCUAAGAUGAUUUGAUAUUAUAACGAGAUAUUGAUUUUCCUAGAGUAA